ACUAAGUCUCGAAUGAGUGACCAUGAAUCGUUCUAAGCUGUGGAAAAAACGAGGCCGCUACAAGAAAUUCUUGCACCCUGGUGCAAAAUUCGAAGUGCCGAAGUCGACAGUCAGCAGACACCGGCUCGCGAAUGCAGCGGUAUCUUCAGUUGCCGAAAAUCAGACAGGCACGUCCUGGGGCGACGGGGAAACCACAAGCUCUACUGCGAUUCCUCUGCAAACUGAUGCAUUGCCUCUGAACGAAAAUAUUACACAGCCAGAUGAAGAU